rnacentral:rRNA from 1 species
GUGUCAGCCGCCGCGGUAAUACGGAGGGUGCGAGCGUUGUCCGGAAUCACUGGGCGUAAAGGGCGCGUAGGCGGCCCGGUAAGUAGGGGGUGAAAUCUUGCGGCUUAACCGCAAGGCUGCCUUCUAGACUGCCAGGCUCGAGCACAGUAGAGGCAGGUGGAAUUCCCGGUGUAGCGGUGGAAUGCGUAGAGAUCGGGAAGAACAUCAGUGGCGAAGGCGGCCUGCUGGACUGUAGCUGACGCUGAGGCGCGACAGCGUGGGGAGCAAACAGGAUUAGAAACCCGAGUAGUCC